UCAUUACAGGAAUGCGAUCAAGUUGCUGUGCAGCGUAAAACUUUUGUGGCAGAUGAUAUCCCCUUCCCAGAAAUAUCAGGUUGUUCUGUAGCAAUGGAUGAAGCUAAAACAUAUAAAACUGCAACCGCAGGUUCUACAAAAGAUGGACAAUCUGGUCCAUCUGGAAGGGCUGGUGGUGUACCUUCUAAUUCUUCAUCUGCCCUCUUUCCAACAUAUCAUGCUAGUGGACGAGGUAGUUGGCAAGGUUUCGUUGCUUAUGAGGCAUGUAUUCGACUAUGUCUUCACUCAUGGGCGAAGGGUUGCCAUGAGGCUCCAGCUUUCUUGGAAAAUGAAUGUGCCAUGUUACGAGAUGCUUUUGGCGCCAGGCAAGUGUUGUUACAAUCGGAG
rnacentral:misc_RNA from 1 species